rnacentral:lncRNA from 1 species
CCGUUUAUUGCCACUAUUCUGUCUCCAAUUUGCAGGACUCCACAUCUUUCUGCUGGACUGUCAGACUCGAUAUAGGAAAUGAGAGGCGGAGAAGACAAGGUCUCAGUAGCAAACACGCUACCCUGGAGCUGUAUCCCAAACCCUACUAUGGGGUCAGCUGUCAGCACUACUUCUGUGGUUUCGGUGUGGACGACCUGCCCAGCCA